UACUUAUCCAGAGUGGUGGAGGGAAAGGCCCUAUGAAACCACGGCAACCCCAUUCUUUUAAUAAGAUGGAAGGUGCCAAUUCCUACUGAUGAAUCGUCAGCAGUAAGAUAAGUG
rnacentral:ncRNA from 1 species